rnacentral:misc_RNA from 1 species
AAAUCAGAGUUCUCAAUGCAACAUGCCAAUAUUCAAAAUCAUAGAUAUUAGUUCAUGACAAGAUGCUGACCAAAAUAACAAGACGUUCCUCUUUCAAAUGGCAACCCUUUGAUCAUGUAUUAGUGGCUCUAGUGUAUAUUUGCUGGCUAGAAUGAGCAGAUACGAGCCUAAUAGAACCUCUUGCCAUUAAAUCCCUAAUCGCCCGACGUGCCAACGAUCCAUUGAUCCUUAAUCUAUCUGAAAGGAUGGACGGAGUAAUAAGCUUGAACUUUGGAGCUUCUGAAAGAAGCUUGUCAUAGGUUCCCUG